GACGAACGCUGGCGGCGCGCCUAACACAUGCAAGUCGAACGAGCGAGAGAGAGCUUGCUUUCUCGAGCGAGUGGCGAACGGGUGAGUAACACGUGAGGAACCUGCCUCAAAGAGGGGGACAACAGUUGGAAACGACUGCUAAUACCGCAUAAGCCCACGACCCGGCAUCGGGUAGAGGGAAAAGGAGCAAUCCGCUUUGAGAUGGCCUCGCGUCCGAUUAGCUAGUUGGUGAGGUAACGGCCCACCAAGGCGACGAUCGGUAGCCGGACUGAGAGGUUGAACGGCCACAUUGGGACUGAGACACGGCCCAGACUCCUACGGGAGGCAGCAGUGGGGAAUAUUGCACAAUGGGGGAAACCCUGAUGCAGCGACGCCGCGUGGAGGAAGAAGGUCUUCGGAUUGUAAACUCCUGUUGUUGAGGAAGAUAAUGACGGUACUCAACAAGGAAGUGACGGCUAACUACGUG
rnacentral:rRNA from 1 species